AGGCAGCAGUUAGGAAUAUUGGUCAAUGGGCGCAAGCCUGAACCAGCCAUGCCGCGUGGAGGAUGAAGGUCCUCUGGAUUGUAAACUUCUUUUAUUUGGGACGAAAAAUAGAGAUUCUUCUUUACUUGACGGUACCAGAUGAAUAAGCACCGGCUAACUCCGUGCCAGCAGCCGCGGUAAUACGGAGGGUGCAAGCGUUAUCCGGAUUCACUGGGUUUAAAGGGUGCGUAGGCGGGCAUGUAAGUCAGUGGUGAAAUCUUUGGGCUUAACCCGAAAACUGCCAUUGAUACUAUAUGUCUUGAAUAUUGUGGAGGUUAGCGGAAUAUGUCAUGUAGCGGUGAAAUGCUUAGAUAUGACAUAGAACACCAAUUGCGAAGGCAGCUGGCUACACAUAUAUUGACGCUGAGGCACGAAAGCGUGGGGAUCAAACAGGAUUAGAUACCCCAGUAGUCC
rnacentral:rRNA from 1 species